rnacentral:lncRNA from 1 species
GUGACCCAGAAGGUGCUGGCUCCCCACGAAGAGGCAGCUGCAGAACACAGAAGAGCCAGCAUCAGCUCCUCAGCCACCUGGGCCAUGGCGAGCCUUCCAACAAGCAAGGUGAAGCUGUACCAGCAGUCCAUGGAGAGGUCUGCAGGGAAGAGAGAGAAUCCUCCUGUGACAGCCACAUGAAUGAUAUUGAAGGCGAGCCCUCCAGUCCCAGUCAACCUUCAGAGACUGUAAUCUGUGUCAACAGUAUUACUGAAAUCUUGUGAAAGAACCUGAGCCAGAACCACCAAGCCUCAGAAA